ACACGGAGGGCGCAAGCGUUGCUCGGAAUCACUGGGCGUAAAGCGGGUGUAGGCGGUCUAGCAAGUCAGAUGUGAAAGCCCACGGCUCAACCGUGGAAGUGCAUCUGAAACUGCUAGACUUGAGUCCCGGAGAGGGAAGUGGAAUUCCUGGUGUAGGGGUGAAAUCCGUAGAUAUCAGGAGGAACACCGGUGGCGAAGGCGACUUCCUGGACGGCCACUGACGCUGAGACCCGAAAGCGUGGGGAGCAAACAGGAUUAGAUACCCUAGUAGUCC
rnacentral:rRNA from 1 species